AUGACUCUUUGGUUUGAACUAGUAGAAAUUGCCAAAUCCAUUCGGGUAGUAGAUGAGGAUGGCUUCCCUGUGUGGAAUCUGAAUUCCAAAAAGGUAUUCACAGUUAAAUCCUUCUACAAGUUCAUUAAUUUCCGAGGAGUCUUGCCUACUACUCCUCCUGCUGUUUGGAAUUUAAAAAUUCCCCCGAGGAUUCAAAUCUUUCUCUGGCUCCUGGUUAAUAAUAAACUGCUGACUAGAGAUAAUCUGAGCAAAAGACAAGAGGUGGGGGAUCCCACCUGUGUGUUUUGCUCUGAACGUGAAUCUUGUUUUCAUCUAUUCAAUGCUUGUGUGGUUGCUGUUGAGUUCUGGAGAACCACCUGUGCCAUCACUGGAGUGAGUGAGGACAUAAAUAUGAUGUCUAUCUCCUCCUACUGGCUCAGGGGGGAUAGGUUCGCAGCCAUUAACACAGUCCAUGCGGCUGGGUUGUGGGCAAUCUGGAAAACUCGCAACGACAUGGUUUUCAAUAAUGUUUGUUGGCCUGGUAUGCAGGCUAUCUGGAGGAGAACAGCUACAAAUCUAUCUACUUGGGGGUGCCUUUUCUCAGGAGAUGCCAGGGUCAAGCUGGAGUGGGCAGUGGAAAAGCUGGAGGAGAAAGCAAGAAGCCCACCUCUGUUGCUAUGGCCGAAUCCUGGCUGA
rnacentral:rRNA from 1 species